GCCAAUAUAGCUCACUAGGCAGAGCAGCAGUCUCGUAAACUGCAGGUAAAGGGUUCGAAUCCCUUUAUUGGCUCCA
rnacentral:tRNA from 1 species